GAUGGGAUGCUACUGGUUUAGCUCGUUUAGGUUUUACUGGAUCUAUUUUUAUAAAUGUGAAUGUUGGAGCACACAGUUGGGCUGAUGCUGGAUUUUACUAAAACCUUCAUGUGGACUUGAUUGUUUUAAUUUGAAAAUAUUGAAGUUUAAGUGUGUGUGAGUUCAGCUGAUUUAACGACGCUUCAUCUACUGGAGUUCAACAGAACCGUCAGAGUUCAGCCCAAAAAUACCAGGAUUCAUAAGAACAGGAUCUGUGUGUGUGUGUGUGUGUGUGUGGUGUGUGUCUUGUCCUGCUGUACAUAGCCAGGCGGUAAAAGGCCAGAUAACUGCACUAACUGUGUGUGUGUUUUGGAGGAACAUGAACCUUCAGUGAUGUUUCUUUCAUGAAUCUGUUUCCAUCCAUUCAAGGGUCAUUUUGUCGUCAAUAGAAUCUUGUGUUUUGGAACAUUGCACACAAACUGUGGCCACUAUGCAAACCCAUGAACCCCAUGAACCCCCAUGAGUCCAUGUGUUGGACUCCAGAGUCUGUUCAUUCCAUCACUGAACUAAAACACAAUGAGCCUCAUGGAAGAACGUUUGUGUUUUCAUAUCUGAACUUUUUCUGCUUUGGACUUGGAUGAUGAACAUCAAACCCAUGAAUAAACCGUGUUCAUGUAAAGACCUGCUGAGUGCAGACUUUGGAAGGUCCCUGAUCAGCCCAUGGUUCCUGCUGAAGGUCCAGGACCAUAGAUGGCUCCUGCUGUAGAACAUGUUCAUGGGUGGUUCUUCCAUGAGGCCAGUGUUCAGUCCACUCAUGGACAGUCCAGUCCCACCUGUGGUUCAGGUGGACACUGUCCUACAGACGUCCACAUGCACUCCAGAUAUUAGUAUGUAUGAAACUGUCGACUACUGUCACUGAUCAUUAUUGGGUUAAUUUGUUUAGAUUUUGUUGACAAUAAACGACUGUUAAGG